GGACACAUGGGACAGCACCAAACUAAAAUGCACCACGGAUCACCUCAUGAACCUGCAGCUCCGGGACCCACUACUGGACUUUUACUGUUUGGAAAGACUCAUAGACAAAGACAUGCUGGUGCAAGAAGGAAUGAGCAGAGGAAAGAGAGUAGCUGGCGGAGGGGAGAGCUGGAGACUUCCAACUGGGUGUGAAUGAAUAAAGAAGGGAAAAGGAUCCACUUAAGAAGCUUGAGGUCGUGCAUCCUCCAGAUCACGUUAACAGCCAUCCUUCACCAGUAAAACCCUCUGUCCUCCAGAGCUGUGGAGUGUGACAAUGGUGUUUGUGUCCUGUGUAUCAAACGCCAUUAUCACACUAAAUAGCUACAGUGUGAAAAGGACCUCAGUGUACUCCACCGUUUCCUGGUAUGCCUGUUUUCCUCUUAUGCCAUUUAUUUGUUUGGUCACUCCUAUAUAGUCUUUAAAUGUUUGCUUUUUUUGUAGAUUCGUAACAGUUUCUUCUUACAUAUUGUAAAGUCUGAAAAUGUUUCCCCACAUGUGAGUCUUAUCUAUAGCCUGCAACAUUUUACACCACAUGGGUGGGGCAGGGAUAAAAAUAGACAUAUGCAAGGUGUUGAUUCAUCAUACAUGAUGUUGAGCCUCUGAGUGUGACCCACUUACCUUUGCAUUUGGGGCGCUAAUUUGCUGCUGGACACCUUCUCCUGUAAGUAAGUACAGAUAAGAAUAGAUGUCCCAUUUGUUUUCAUGUUGCUGCCAUUUAUUGUGUUGUCAAUUCAAACUUUCUAUAAAGUGAUCAUCUAAUUAAAAUGAUUGGUGAUGCUGUAUUUUAUGACUGCCUACAUCUUUGCAAAUGACAUAAAUAAACAGUGCUUGUUUUUUGUCUGCUGCUGUGGAGUGAACUUUUGCACUUAAGCCAUUCUAGUCCUGAAAUUCAAAUAAUGUACACAUGAUGUUCAUAUGCCAUAAAUCCCCCCCAGCAAAUAUAUUUGCAUGCACACACAGAGCACGAUGCAUUAUACCAUUCUUCAAACCCAUAGGCCAGAGGUACCCUUGCAGGAAAUGUUGAAUUAAUCCCAUGAAAGAGAAUCCAGGAAGCAUUUUAAACUAGCAACAUCUCUUUAAGAUCUACUGUUAGCUCACACACUGGCCUCAACCUGAGAGCCAUGUCAGCAAUUCGGGUCAGUGAGAGUGGAACAUAUUAUAUAGAGACAGUUUGAGAGUACAGUGGAACAGCUGGCAUACUAUUGAGAACAUUUAGACUGUGUGUGCUGUAUAAAGAUGCUCUGGAUGUCAGAGUAUGAUUAUUGGGAUUAGUUUUACAUGUCCUACAUUGACUAUUGACUGCAUUGGUAUGAGCUAUAUUGUACCAGUUUAGUGUAGAUGCUUAAAAUGCUGCCACACAUUUGAACUUAAUUCAACGAGCAGAAAUAAUGAAAUGACAAGUCAAUCAAUCUCACGUCACACGUCACAUGAGCUUAAUGUGUACAAAAUGUCUUUGUGCUCUUUCCAAAAUAUAAACAUGAGCUCAUUCUAAAAUGUAACAGAAUUCAUCAAAUAUGUUUGCAGCUUCGUAGCCAAACACAUAAAAAUGUAACCAUUCAUUCAACUGAUCUCAAAACAUUAUGUGUCUUCUACCACGUGUAUUUUGUCAUUCAACCUACCUCAUAGACAUUUCCUCUAAUCAAUUAAUAAACAAGUUCAUUAAUUUAAUGAACUUAAUCAUUUGAAAACAUCACCGACGUAGAAAAAUAAAGAAAAAUACUGUAAAGAAAAUGAAUUGCUCCUCAUCCAUCGACAAAGCAAUCUAAGACAUCACAGUUCAAUACUGUAGACAAACUGUAUCAUACAUAAUUUUCAAGUGUUCGUUAAAAUUGUCACAGUUUUUCCAAAACUUGCAACAGAAAAGUUCCCAUAUUAAAAAAACAGCACAUAAAAUUUCAUACAGAAACCAUCCAUGGUGAAAUCUUCAUUAAAUAAAAGGUAUUACCCUCUUAUGAGAACAACAGCUGCUGGUUGUGUAACAAGCACUUCCUUCAGAGUCAAUGUAUCUCCUGCAUCUGGCCUCAGUGACUCCAAUGUUGUUAUCACUUUUUGAUACUGCAAAUCGAGAUCCAGAUGUGAGUGAAGCACAUCUCCAAAUCAGCUUAUUCUCACCAUUUCAAUUAUUACACCCUUAGUCCAAGAUUCCCCUCUUAUUAUGACUUGCUCUUCAACGUUGGCCCAAAAGUUUUCUUUUUGGGUACAGCAGAAGGUUGGGGUUUGGGUUUGGGAGCAGUUCCAGGCUUUUUGGGUUUGGGCUGUAGAGAUUUGAGGCCCAGGAUCUCACAGAAUGUGUUGCACUGGUGCAAGGCUUUGAACUGGUCAAUAAAGGAGGUGGCACAAUUUCCUUUGAAGCCCUUAUAUCUAAAAAAAUAAAAAUACAUUACACAAUAAUUAGCGUGAAUCAGUUAAUUGAAUCCAUCAUUGGUCUUGUUCUCAAACAAAAUAACUCACCCUUUCUUGCAUGUGGCUAUUCCCACAUCAGUAAGCCUCAUGCCCACUCCUGAAAACCACAAAAAUCAGUUUGAUAUUUGCAGAUUAAAACAAAUUAAACUCAUGUAUUUGCAUUUUAUGAAAUGUCUUCUGUUUCCCUGACCUUGCAUGUCAGUGACCAGCAGGUUACCCUCAGUCUUAUGGUACACCCAGUGCUGGAAAGCACAACAUUUCUGACCAGCCUCCGAGUCACGUCUCUUCAGAUUGAUCUCUUUGCCAUCCUUGACCGAAUACUUGACAAAGUCACCGAUCAGCUCCUCCUCCAACGUGGCAUACGGGAUGUCAUUGGAUGGACGGUAAACCAGGUUUCAACAGACUGGGCCGCGACAGUGUACGCCUUGAUGUACUCUCUUGCUGUGUUCUGCACUUGACACUCCUACACAGCAAGAAGUAAAUUACAGUUGAUAUAUUUUCUAUUUUCUCUAUUUUCUCUAUGCAUGAUGAUCAUGACACUAAAGAUAAAAUAAUAAAAUAUAUCUUGUGAA